UACAGAGGUCUCAAGCGUUGUUCGGAUUCAUUGGGCGUAAAGGGUGCGUAGGCGGCGCGGUAAGUCGGGUGUGAAAUCUCGGAGCUUAACUCCGAAACUGCAUUCGAUACUGCCGUGCUUGAGGACUUGGAGAGGAGACUGGAAUUUACGGUGUAGCGGUGAAAUGCGUAGAUAUCGUAAGGAAGACCAGUGGCGAAGGCGGGUCUCUGGACAGUU
rnacentral:rRNA from 1 species